rnacentral:rRNA from 1 species
UACGUAGGGUGCGAGCGUUAAUCGGAAUUACUGGGCGUAAAGCGUGCGCAGGCGGUUUUGUAAGUCGGAUGUGAAAUCCCCGGGCUUAACCUGGGAAUGGCAUUCGGGACUGCAAGGCUGGAGUGCGGCAGAGGAGACUGGAAUUCCUGGUGUAGCAGUGAAAUGCGUAGAUAUCAGGAGGAACACCGAUGGCGAAGGCAGGUCUCUGGGCUGACACUGACGCUCAUGCACGAAAGCGUGGGGAGCAAACAGG